GACCCCGGCGUACCGCUCAGUAACACGCGGAUAAUCUACCCCCAGGUGAGGUAUAACCUCGGGAAACUGAGGAUAAUCCCUCAUAGUUAUCAUAUGCUGGAAUGCUUUGAUGACGAAAGCCUUUACGCCUGAGGAUGAGUCUGCGGCCUAUCAGGUCGUAUGUGAUGUAAAGGACCACAUAGCCUAGGACGGGUACGGGCCCUGAAAGGGGGAGCCCGGAGAUGGACUCUGAGACACAAGUCCAGGCCCUACGGGGCGCAGCAGGCGCGAAAACUGUGCAAUGCGCGAAAGCGCGACACGGGAAACCUGAGUGCCUUGACAAUGUCAAGGCUUUUCUUAAGCCUAAAAAGCUUAAGGAAUAAGAGCUGGGCAAGACGGGUGCCAGCCGCCGCGGUAACACCCGCAGCUCGAGUGGUGGUCACUUUUAUUGAGCCUAAAGCGUUUGUAGCCGGUUUUGCAAAUCUUCAGAUAAAUUCCUCUGCUUAACAGAUGAUCUUCUGAAGAGACUGCGAGACUUGGGACCGGGUGAGGUUGAAGGUACUUCCGGGGUAGGGGUAAAAUCCUGUAAUCCUGGAAGGACGACCGGUGGCGAAGGCGUUCAACUAGAACGGAUCCGACGGUGAGGAACGAGGGCUAGGGUAGCAAACCGGAUUAGAUACCCGGGUAGUCCUAGCUGUAAACACUGCCCACUUGGUGUUGCCCCUCCGAUGAGGGGAGGCAGUGCCGGAGCGAAGGUGUUAAGUGGGCCGCUUGGGGAGUAUGGUCGCAAGGCUGAAACUUAAAGGAAUUGGCGGGGGAGCACCGCAACGGGAGGAGCGUGCGGUUUAAUUGGAUUCAACGCCGGAAAACUCACCGGGAGCGACCUUUGGAUGAGAGUCAGCCUGAUGAGCUUACUCGAUAGAAGGAGAGGUGGUGCAUGGCCGUCGUCAGCUCGUACCGUAGGGCGUUCACUUAAGUGUGAUAACGAGCGAGACCCCCAUCUCUAAUUGCUAACGUGCAUUCGCGUGCACGCGCACUUUAGAGGGACCGCCAGUGCUAAACUGGAGGAAGGAGGGGUCGACGGCAGGUCAGUACGCCCCGAAUCUCCCGGGCAACACGCGCGCUACAAAGGGCAGGACAAUGAGUUGCCACCUCGAAAGGGGGAGCUAAUCUCGAAACCUGUUCGUAGUUAGGAUUGAGGGCUGUAACUCGCCCUCAUGAAUGUGA
rnacentral:rRNA from 1 species